UUGCUUUAGCUGUACAUAUGCAAAAAUUGGACUGAUACAGAGAAGAUUAGCAUGGCCCUUGAGUAAGGAUGGCAUGCACAUUAAUGAACAGUUUCAUAUUAUA
ensembl:snRNA U6 U6 spliceosomal RNA